rnacentral:rRNA from 1 species
CUGGCUCAGGACGAACGCUGGCGGCGUGCUUAACACAUGCAAGUCGAACGAUGAACUCCAGCUUGCUGGGGGGAUUAGUGGCGAACGGGUGAGUAACACGUGAGUAACCUGCCCCUGACUCUGGGAUAAGCGCUGGAAACGGCGUCUAAUACCGGAUAUGACAAUCGACGGCAUCGUCUGGUUGUGGAAAGAAUUUCGGUUGGGGAUGGACUCGCGGCCUAUCAGGUUGUUGGUGAGGUAAUGGCUCACCAAGCCUACGACGGGUAGCCGGCCUGAGAGGGUGACCGGCCACACUGGGACUGAGACACGGCCCAGACUCCUACGGGAGGCAGCAGUGGGGAAUAUUGCACAAUGGGCGCAAGCCUGAUGCAGCAACGCCGCGUGAGGGACGACGGCCUUCGGGUUGUAAACCUCUUUUAGUAGGGAAGAAGC